rnacentral:rRNA from 1 species
GCGCGAAACCUUCGCAAUGCGCGAAAGCGUGACGAGGCUACCCGGAGUGCUUCUUGAAGAAAGAAGCUGUUGUCAGUGUUUAACUAGCCUGACGAGUAAGGAGAGGGCAAGGCUGGUGCCAGCCGCCGCGGUAAAACCAGCUCUUCAAGUUGUCGGGACGAUUACUGGGCUUAAAGAGUCCGUAGCCGGUUUAGCAAGUCCUUGGUAAAAUCUGGCAGCUUAACUGUCAGUACGCUAGGGAAACUACUUUACUAGAGGGCGGGAAAGGUCUGGGGUACUUCAGGGGUAGGGGUGGAAUCCUAUAAUCCUUGGGGGACCACCAGUGGCGAAAGCGCCAGACUGGAACGCGCCUGACGGUGAGGGACGAAAGCCAGGGGAGCAAACCGGAUUAGAUACCCGGGUAGUCCUGGCCGUAAACGAUGCGUGCGAGGUGUUGGUAAGGCCACGAGCCGUAUCAGUGCCGUAGGGAAACCGAUAAGCACGCCGCCUGGGGAGUACGGUCGCAAGGCUGAAACUUAAAGGAAUUGGCGGGGGAGCACCACAAGGGGUG